rnacentral:rRNA from 1 species
GCAGUCGAACGAGAAAGGCGACUUCGGUUGCUGAGUAGAGUGGCGAACGGGUGAGUAGCGCGUGGGUGAUCUACCCUGAAGUGGGGGAUAACUUCGCGAAAGCGGGGCUAAUACCGCAUGAGCCGGUUCAUUCGAUUGAAUCGGGAAAAGCUUCGGUUGCUUCAGGAGGAGCCCGCGUCCGAUUAGCUAGUUGGUAAGGUAAGAGCUUACCAAGGCGACGAUCGGUAACCGGUCUGAGAGGACGGACGGUCACACUGGGACUGAGACACGGCCCAGACUCCUACGGGAGGCAGCAGUGGGGAAUUUUGGGCAAUGGGGGAAACCCUGACCCAGCAACGCCGCGUGGAGGAUGAAGUUUUUCGGAACGUAAACUCCUGUCCAGAGGGACGAAGCAAGUGACGGUACCUCUGGAGGAAGCCCCGGCUAACUCCGUGCCAGCAGCCGCGGUAAUACGGGGGGGGCAAGCGUUGUUCGGAAUUACUGGGCGUAAAGGGCGCGCAGGCGGCUUCGGAAGUCAUGGGUGAAAGCCCCAGGCUCAACCUGGGAAUUGCCUGUGAAACCACGGAGCUGGAGUGCUGGAGAGGGAAGCGGAAUUCCCAGUGUAGCGGUGAAAUGCGUAGAUAUUGGGAGGAACAUCUGAGGCGAAGGCGGCUUCCUGGACAGACACUGACGCUGAGGCGCGAAAGCCAGGGGAGCGAACGGGAUUAGAUACCCCGGUAGUCCUGGCUGUAAACGAUGAACACUUGGUGUGGGGG